UCAAACUCUACUGCCUCAAGUUUCUCCGGUUCAACAAGUCUUUCACAUCUUUAUUUUUCAUCCUCAUUAUACCUUUCAGAAUCAUGGCUAUUCGUAUGCCUCGCAUUAUUAAUGCUAAACAAAUUCUCCGUCGAUCUUCAAUGACUUCUAAGGAUGUUCCAAAGGGCUAUAUCAUUCUUGAACAAGCCUUCUUUUCAAGAAUUGUUAAGUCAAGCUGAGGAAGAAUUUGGCUUUAAUCAUCCUAUGGGUGGCCUUACAAUACCAUGCACAGAAGACAUAUUCAUUGAUCUCACUUCUCGUCUAAGCGAACUCUGAGUUUAGAUUGAUUAAUUGCAGAAUAUUUUUGCUAACUCAUUUUUGUACAGAAGUGAUCAUCAUUUGACUAUACAUUUUUCAUUCCAUUUUCCCCCACAAAAGAGCCUGGGGUUGAAUGUAACAUCUCUUUAUGAGAAAAAUUUAUAAAUAGACUUUAUUGCAGUUUCUCUCAUAUUCUCUUGUUGAUUACAUUCAUAAGAAAAAAUAUCUUUCACUUUCAGAUUUUUGGUGAGGUGAUUAUUAUAAUCUGUGGCCUGCCAGGAGGAAACUAAUAAUUUCAAGAUAGAUUUUCAUGAAAAACAGUUGGAACUGGCUAGUUUUUUUUCCCUGGAUCUCCCAAAUAAGUCAUGAAUAUGCUUUGUCCUUUAUGCUGUUAGUUGGUGCAAUUUGAUUCCUUCCAUGUUGUAUUGAAAAUUAAGGUUCCUUUGGUAUCUAGCAUGGACACAAUCUUAUUUAUUCCAUCAUUAUAGGAAUUCUUAUGUGCAUCUUUGUAUCAUGUUUGACUCCCACUUUGUUUUUAAGUUCACUUGAAAGAAUCGUGUGGGCAUAUUAUCAAAUGCAAGAAAAGAACUAGAUUAGAUAGAUGACACAUCCUAAAGGCCCAUAUUGCCAUUUGUGUAGGAUAAUUAACCUAGAAAAAUUAUUGUAUGGCUAUCCAUAUCAUGCUUGACAGAAUCCCUAAGUCACAAACAUUCUAAUAUGGAAACAUUUGUUUGUUCUUCAAGUUAGGAAAAUGUCAUAAUAUUACCAAUCUUCCCUUGUGUUUUGACAAUGAAUAUUUCUGCAUGACCAGCUUACGUUUUCCAGUACUUUUAAACGACAACAUUAAUCCUACAAGGAGAGCAGAAUUUGUUCUGGUGUAUUUAGAUAAUCUUUUAUAGUUAAAUCCUAACAUUGAGUUCAAUAUAUGUUAUAAUCAGUAGGACGCAUACAUAAUAAUUUUUUGUUGAUUUUCAUCCAUUAAAUUGGUGGACUUCAACAACUCGACCCAGAGAUAUACAGCCUAAACACUAAAAACAUUUAUGCGAUUCAUUGGGAGGCAUAACCAUGUGCUACAUAACUCUAUAUGUUUGCUUAUGGACCAUUUCUAUAUGUUAUUGAAUAUAUAUAUAAGAUAUAGUUGUGCCAAUUAGACCAAGAAACAUAUAAUCUUCAAUUCAAUAUUAUGUUUGAUUUUAAGUACAACCAUUUUGCAGCCCAGCUUUAAAUUCUUUGAUCUGUCAAAGUUGUUGGCCAUGACAAGCUUCCCUACAGAUGCUAGAGCACCAACAAUAUUGAAAUUUAUGUAUUUUUGAUUGGUAGCAUAACCAUGUAUUUCUGUAAUGAUAUAUGUUGGUUUGGUCACUCCACUGUAAACCAAGUGCCAUGAGCUGUCAAUCAAGGCUAGAUUUAUGUAAUGCUGUCAUAUUGGUGUUUAUACAUAAAGCUAAUUUAGGAUGUAUAAACACCAAUAUGAGUUGGUAGGGCAUUAUGUUGUUCUGUGAUUAUAUGGCUUGGCCUAUUACUAAAUAUUCUUGAUAAUGAGUUUGAAGACCAAACCAUGUGAGUCUUUAAAUGCUAUUGUCUCUUGCUGACCUUCAUCCAAUUUCCUCUCCACCACUCAAUCUACUAUCCACUUUACCCAUUGAUCUAUAUAUAAGUUUGCCAUCAGACUUGUACACAACCACUAACAACUCACAAAUUCUACUGUCAAAAGUUUCUCAAGUCCUUAAGAUUUUUCUCUUCCUCAUUAUACAUAUUGGAAGUGGUGUGUAUUCUUGAAGAAUCAUGGCUAUUCGUAUGCCUCGUAUUAUUCAAGCUAAGCAAAUUCUUCGAAAGAUUUCAUUAACAGCAAACCAUGCUACUUCAACAACUGCAGAAGUUCCGAAGGGCUAUUUGGCAGUUUAUGUAGGAGAGCAGGAAAAGAAGAGGUUCGUGAUUCCGAUAUCAUUCUUGAGCCAGCCUUGUUUCCAAGACUUGUUAAGUCAAGCAGAGGAAGAAUUUGGGUUUGAUCAUCCUAUGGGUGGUCUUACAAUUCCCUGUAGAGAGGACAUAUUCAUUGAUCUCACUUCUCAUUUGAGUGGAUUGUGAUCAGUAAAAGAACUAGCAUAGUUUAGCGAACACAGUUUUGUAUAGCAAUGCCAGUGAUACCAAUUCCUUGUACAGUUUUUCUGUAAUUUUUUGCCCCAGAAAAGAACCUGGGGUUACAUACAAUGUUUCAUACAUCUGAUGCCUGAUGGUAUAUAUCAAUAAAUAGAAAAUAUUGCCUUCUCUCAUAUUCUCUAUUGAUUUAUGAGUAUAUAAAAAAUCUUUUUUUUUCUUUUUGGAUUGGAUUUCUCAUGGAUUCUGCACUACUAUUGGUGGCUUACUAAGAUUAUGAACAUCACUUUUGGUAUCCACUUGAAAACAAACAAUUAUGAUACUUCUGUAUAUCAAACUCAGAGUAAUAACAUUUACUUGAUAAAAUGCUGGCCCUACAGCAAUAUUUUGUUCACUUCAUUAAUCUUUCCUGAUUAGUCAUAACAUUCAAGCACAUUUUCUUAAACAAAAUAGGUAAUCAGGUAAUACAAAUACUUUCUAAUAUCCUCCAUCUUUUCUUUUCUUGUCAUUCAAUCCGGUAGGAUAAUGUCCUCCAUCAGAGUCCUGUAAAUGUUUUUGUACGUCAAACUUAACUUUCAUUCCAAAAAGAUUCCUUAUACUUUGUUUACUAUUCAAACCAACUUGUGGGCAUAUAUUAUGGUGUCUGACAAUUGAGGGAGUGAUAGAGGAAGGCUAUAAAGGUUCAGUUGUCUCAGUAGUUGUUCCAAAUGGUAAAAAUAGACAUCUUAGUGAAAUGCUUGUUUGGAAUGAAGAACAAAUCCGUGAACAUUCAUCGGACCCUUCUGCAGCCGCCAUCUGAAUGAGUACAACUAUGUCGUGAAUAUGCUUUGUACUUUAUGCUGUUAGGGGCUGCAAUUUAAAUCCUUGACAUAACUACUGAGAAUCCUUAUCUGCAUGGACAAAGUAUUAUUUAUUCUGUCACUAUAAGAAUCCUUAUCUGCAUCUUUGUAUCAAGUUUGACUCCACUUAGUUUUAAAGUCCACUUGAAGAAUCAUAUGGUCAUAUUAUCAAUAGCAAGAAAAGACUAGAUUAGAUAGAUGAUACAUCCUAAAGGCCCACAUUGCCAUUUGUGUAGAAUAAUUAACCUAGAAAAUUUGCUGUAUGGCUCCCAUAUCAUGGUUGACAGAAUCCUCAACACAGACUUUCUAAUAGGUAAACAUUUGUAUGUUCUAUAGAAUCUUUUUUUUUUUCACUAUGUACAUCCUUUAUUUCAUCUAUCAGUACACUUGAUCUCUGAUUAUGUAAAUAAUCUGCUCAAUUUGGAUUAAAUUAUAAACUGUUUAUCAAAGCCAUAAUCCUGGUUAGUUCUAGUCAACCCUUAAUCCCUCAAGCUCAAAUUAUUAUCCAUUCUCCAUAUGUCGAGGGACAAGUUACAUCAGUAACCCAUUUUUUAAUCCCCAUGUUUUCAGAACUCAUUAGAAGCAUCAGAACACACAGUACCGGUGGUGGCCUUCAUGUUUAAUGGACUACAAAAGAUUUUUUUUUUAAUUAAAUGUAUAUAAACACUAUUCAAUGUAUCAGAAUGAUGAUCAUCUAAGAUGUUUUCUCCUAUUAGACACAACUAGGUAAUCAUCAGUCAAAUGGUCUCUUGGAUAUACAUUAUAAUAUGAUUGGCAUCAACUAUUAUAAUCAUAUAGCAGGUCCAAAUUUAGCCCAAUCAAAUUGUUAGGCCAUGAAAAUCACCUCAAGAUAGCAUAAAAAUAUCAAACUUUGAUUUUUCAGUCUUUUUUGUUCUGAGGCAUAACUCUGUGACAGUGAUACCUAAUGGUGUAUGUUUUUGUGUGGACCUUGGUGCUUUGGUUGUUCACCACUUGCUCCAUUUGAGACUUCUGGCCUAUAAAUACUAGUGUCAUUUUCUUGAUGUUUAGUUGGAGUACAAAGCAUGUGCCCUGCAUUUGCUGUUGUCCAUCAAUAGCCCCCACAAAAAUGCAUAAUCACCACUCAUUUACUUGUUAAAGGAUCAUCUACUAACCCCGAUACAUCUAUAUAUAUUCUUGAGCUUUGUCUAUCAAUCAACACAACUCAUAAAACAAUCUACAAUCACAACUUUCUCUCAUUCUACAAGUCUUUGAGAUAUUUUUUUCUUCCUCAUUAGACUCUUUGGAAUCAUGGCUAUUCGUAUGCCUCGUAUUAUUAAUGCUAAGCAAAUUUUUCGCCGGUCUUCAUUGACUGCUAACCAUGCAGCUUUAGAUGUUCCGAAAGGCUACUUCGCAGUUUAUGUUGGAGAGCAGCAAAAGAAGAGAUUUGUCGUGCCAAUAUCAGUUUUGAAUCAGCCUUCUUUUCAGGAUUUGUUAAGUCAAGCUGAGGAAGAAUUUGGCUUUGAUCAUCCUAUGGGUGGUCUUACCAUACCCUGCAGAGAGGAAAUAUUCAACGAACUCACUUCUCGAUUAUGUGGAUUAUGAGUUUUCAUACUGGAAAAUUUAGUACACAAAUUUUUGUACUGAAGUGACCACAAUUCAUUAUACAUUUUUCUUUUUUCCUCCAGUAAAGAUUCUGGGGUUGAAUGUACUGUCUCUAUAUUAGAGAAAUUUAUAAAUAGAAUUUAGUGCAGUUUCUCUUAUAUUCUCUUGUUGAUUAGUUUCAUUUUACUGUAGUAUAUUUCACUUUCAGAUUUUAGGUAUGAGGAAUAUAUUGUGAAGACAUAUUUAGUUGAAUUCUUUUUGUAUGAACUUUGUUUAGUUCUAUCAACUUAGAAAAUAUAAGUAGUACUAGUACCCAUGUCAAGCAAAUGUUUUUGUACUAGUAAGAAAUAUUAUGCAGUAAUAAAGUAUUGUUCUUGUUCUUAGAUAAUAUCUUCAUCUGAAGACUUAAUAAUUUCUUAAGUUCUUUAGAAUAUCAAGCUCAGGACUUUAAUCCCACUGAAUAAACAAGGUCAACUUGUUCUAUGAAUUAUCUUGUGAUAUUUUGCUAAGACAAUAGGCAUUUUUCUGAUCAAGUUGGUCUUUUGACUAAAAUUCUCAAAUGAAGAUGAAAGGCAAUAUUUUCUAAAUUAUAUUAAACCAGUUGCUAAAAGACCUUGAAGAUAUACUUUAAGCUUCCAUAUCAGGCUUUCAGGCAUUGACUUGCAUAGUAAAUAAGACUCAUAAUUUGAACUUGAUGCAUCAUUUUACUUUUAUUUCUCCAAUAAUGCCUUAGUGAUUUAGGUGUUAAAUGUUGUCGUGUAAUAAAUUUUUCCUACUACUAUAUUUUCAGUAAUAGUCUCAUUAAACAUGUAGUAUUGGUUGCCCUUGUGUUUAUUUUACCACAAUCCUUAUUCCUAAAUGAAAAUCUGUAACAAGGCAAGAAGUUUAAUUAAUGACAGUACUGAGAUGAACUCGACCAUUUGGGGGCAAUAACAAAUAUCAUUUUCAAUCCAAUAUAAUGUUGGAUAUAUAUAAAAGCACCUUGCAGCCCAGCACUUGUAUUGUUUGCUCUGUCAAAGUGGUAGUAGCUAGGCCAUCACAAGUAGUCCUCAUAUUUUCAAGUGGUAGAGCUUCAACAUUUUCAAAUCUUUUUGAAUUUUUGUUGGGAAGCAUAACCAUGUGAUUUUCUAAUGAUUAUAUCCUUCAGUGGACUAUGUUGCUUUUGCCUCUUCAGUCGGUUUAUUUAUUAGUAGAUGAAAUGGUAGGACAUGAUGUUCUUCAAUAAUUAAAUGGUUUUGGUUUUGCCUAUGACUAUAACUUCCUGAUAAUGAGUUGGAAGACAAGAACAUGUGAUUUUUUACAUGUUAUUGUCUCUAACUGCCCCACAUCCGAAUGUCUCUAUACCACUCAAUUCUACUGUCAACUGAUCCAUUGAUCUAUAUAUAGGAUUACACUUGAGCUUAUAAUCAACACCAACACCUCACAAACUCUACUGUCAAAAGUUUCACAACUCCUUUAAGAUAUUUGUCUUCCUCAUUUUUCAAGAGACAUCCUUGAAGAAUGAUGGCUAUUCGAAUGCCUCGUAUCAUUCAUGCUAAGCAAAUUCUUCGAAAGAUUCCAUUAACAUCAAACUAUGCUACUUCAACAACCAUGGAUGUUCCAAAAGGCUAUUUUGCAGUUUAUGUAGGAGAGCAGGAAAAGAAGAGAUUUGUGAUUCCAAUAUCAUUUUUGAACCGGCCUUCUUUCCAAGACUUGUUAAGUCAAGCGGAACAAGAGUUUGGCUUUGAUCAUCGUAUGGGUGGUCUUAUAAUUCCCUGCAGAGAGGAAAUAUUCAUUGAUCUCACUUCUCGUUUGAGUGGAUUGUGAUCACUAGGAGAACUAGCAUAGUUUAGUGAACACAAUUUUGUAUAGCAUAGCAUAGCAGUCAGUGAUAGCAAUUUUUCUAUCAUUUUUGCCCCAGGGAGCCUGGGGUUAAAGACAAUGUUACAUACAUCUUAUGAUAAUUUAUAAAAAGAAAUUAAUGAUUUCUCUCAUAUUCUCUUCCUUUUAUAUAUUUAUAUUUGAAUUUCUUUGGAUAUUAUUUUCGCAGAUUCUACAUUUAUUAUUAGUGACUUGCCAGUACUUUUAAUGGCCUCCAUCUUUUCUUUUUUGGUCAUUAUACUGGAUAAUGGCUCUAUCUGACUCCAGCAAAUGUGCUAUUAGAGGCUGCUAUUUGGGACAUUAUUUUCUUAUUGUUUUUUUCUUCUAGAUGGGGCAUUUGUAAUUGUCAUUCUGUUUAAUAGGAUAAUGUUCAGAAAAAAUUCAUACCAACUCAAGUUUUUGCAUCACAAUUUCUGUUGUUUCAUGCAUGAGUUGCCAACAAGCAGGGAAAAAAAUAUAUUUCAAUAAUCAAAAUGUAUGUGGUGAUCAAAUUUAAUCUUUAUCACCAAAAGAUUCUAUGAAUUUUUUAACUAUGAAAACCAACUUGAGGACACAUUCUUAUCGUCCACUAAAAAGUUAAUUGUGAAGUCAUAUUAUCAACUGCGAGAAAGGAAAGGCCGCCCACAAUGCCACUUAUUCAAUCCACUUCCUGCUAUUUGGUUAUGUAUAAAUUCUGCUUAAUUUGGACUAAUAUCAUGGCCCUAUUGAUCAUCAUUAUCAUUGCUUGUUUCCUUUCUUCUAGUCAACCGUUCAUCCCUCAAAAAACAUUGUGACAUGAGUAGCCAAUUUGCUGUGAGGCCCAUGUUGUUAGAACUGGAUCAUAACACAUAGUCCUGGUGCUGGCCUUCAUGUUUAAUUUACUUGACCACAAAUUAAAUCAAAUUGUUUAACAAUAACAUACAAUAUUUUGAUCACAUUAGAUAUAUAUACUCCUCCGCAUUUAGACACAACUAUUAAUCUUCAAUCCAAAUUGUCUGUUGGAUAAACAUUAUAAUUAGUUGGCAGCAAAUAUAAUAAUCAUUUGUAGGUCCAAUUUUCACUCAAUCCAAUUGCUAAGCCAUGAUAAUCACCUCAACAUAGAACUAAAAAUAUCAAGCUCAGAUUUUAUUUUAUUUUAUUGGGUUUUUUUUGUUGUUGUGAGGCAUCACCAUGUGCUACCUAAUGGCAUAUGUCUUUUGAAGGACCUUGGUGCUUUGGUCUGUUUACCACAAACUCCAUUUGAGACUUUUGGCCUACAAAUCCUACUGUGAUUUUGCUGAUAUUGAGUUGGACUACAAAACCAUGUGACCUGCAUUUGCUAUUUUCCAUCAAUAGCCCCCACAGAAAAUGCAUCUUUGCCACUCAUUUACAUGUUGAGGGGUCAUCCACAGGACCACAGACCCUUAAUGCAUCUAUAUAUACACUUGCAUUUCAUCUUACAAUCAACACAAGUUUCAAACUCUACUGCCUCAAGUUUCUCCAGUUCAACAAGUCUUUGACAUCUUUAUUUUUCAUCCUCACUAUACCUUUCAGAAUCAUGGCUAUUCGUAUGCCUUGAAUUAUUAAUGCUAAGCAAAUUCUUCAUCGAUCUUCAUCGACUUCCAAGGAUGUUCCAAAGGGCUAUUUUGCAGUUUAUGUUGGAGAGCAGGAAAAGAAGCGAUUCGUGAUUCCUAUAUCAUUCUUGAACAAGCCUUCUUUUCAAGAAUUGUUAAGUCAAGCUGAGGAAGAUUUUGGCUUUAACCAUCCUAUGGGAGGCCUUACAAUACCAUGUACAGAAGACAUAUUCAUUGAUCUCACUUCUCGUCUAAGUGAACUAUGAGUUUAGAUUGAUGCCAGAAUAUUUUUGCUAACUCAUUUUUGUACAGAAGUGAUCAUCAUUUGACUAUACAUUUUUCAUUCCAUUUUUCCCCCAAAAAAGUCUGGGGUUGAAUGUAACAUCUAUUUAUCAGAAAAAUUAUAAAUAGACUUGCUGCAGUUUCUCUCAUAUUCUCUUGUUGAUUACAUAUAUAAUCAAAAGUAUCUUUCACUUUCAG
rnacentral:lncRNA from 1 species